UACGAGGGGGGCAAAUGUUGUUCGGAAUCACUGGGCGUAAAGGGAGCGUAGGCGGGUUUCUAAGUCAGGUGUUUAAUCCCGGGGCCCAACCCCGGACAGGCACUUGAAACUGGGAAUCUUGAAUAGGGGAGAGGUCAGUGGAAUUGGAGGUGUAGCGGUGGAAUGCGUAGAGAUCUCCAAGAACACCAGUUGCGAAGGCGGCUGACUGGACCCAUAUUGACGCUGAGGCUCGAAAGCAUGGGGGAGCAAACAGG
rnacentral:rRNA from 1 species